rnacentral:rRNA from 1 species
GCUUGCUCUCGGGUGACGAGUGGCGGACGGGUGAGUAAUGUCUGGGAAACUGCCCGAUGGAGGGGGAUAACUACUGGAAACGGUAGCUAAUACCGCAUAACGUCGCAAGACCAAAGAGGGGGACCUUCGGGCCUCUUGCCAUCGGAUGUGCCCAGAUGGGAUUAGCUUGUAGGUGAGGUAACGGCUCACCUAGGCGACGAUCCCUAGCUGGUCUGAGAGGAUGACCAGCCACACUGGAACUGAGACACGGUCCAGACUCCUACGGGAGGCAGCAGUGGGGAAUAUUGCACAAUGGGCGCAAGCCUGAUGCAGCCAUGCCGCGUGUAUGAAGAAGGCCUUCGGGUUGUAAAGUACUUUCAGCGGGGAGGAAGGGAGUGAGGUUAAUAACCUCAUUCAUUGACGUUACCCGCAGAAGAAGCACCGGCUAACUCCGUGCCAGCAGCCGCGGUAAUACGGAGGGUGCAAGCGUUAAUCGGAAUUACUGGGCGUAAAGCGCACGCAGGCGGUCUGUCAAGUCGGAUGUGAAAUCCCCGGGCUCACCUGGGAACUGCAUUCGAAACUGGCAGGCUGGAGUCUUGUAGAGGGGGGUAGAAUUCCAGGUGUAGCGGUGAAAUGCGUAGAGAUCUGGAGGAAUACCGGUGGCGAAGGCGGCCCCCUGGACAAAGACUGACGCUCAGGUGCGAAAGCGUGGGGAGCAACAGGAUUAGAUACCCUGGUAGUCCACGCUGUAACGAUGUCGACUU